rnacentral:tRNA from 1 species
GAAUUCAAAAAUCAAAAGUCAAAAGUCAAAAUUAAAUAUUUUUGAAGCAUGACUAGAAAUUUUG